rnacentral:rRNA from 1 species
AGCGAACGCUGGCGGCAGGCCUAACACAUGCAAGUCGAACGAACUCUUCGGAGUUAGUGGCGGACGGGUGAGUAACACGUGGGAACGUGCCUUUAGGUUCGGAAUAACUCAGGGAAACUUGUGCUAAUACCGAAUGUGCCCUUCGGGGGAAAGAUUUAUCGCCUUUAGAGCGGCCCGCGUCUGAUUAGCUAGUUGGCGAGGUAACGGCUCACCAAGGCGACUAGCAGUAGCUGGUCUGAGAGGAUGACCAGCCACACUGGGACUGAGACACGGCCCAGACUCCUACGGGAGGCAGCAGUGGGGAAUCUUGCGCAAUGGGCGAAAGCCGGACGCAGCCAUGCCGUGUGAAUGAUGAAGGUCUUAGGAUUGUAAAAUUCUUCCACCGGGGACGAUAAUGACGGUACCCGGAGAAGAAGCCCCGGCUAACUUCGUGCCAGCCGCCGCCGUAAAAC